AACGUGCGCAAGUGCUCCCUCUUUGGAACGAGAGUCCCUUUCUACGGAAGGACAGUGGACUGGAGAGGAGGCGCAACACCGAAACGACAGAUCGUGCAGAGAGGGCGUCUCGUGGCCAUUCGUUUCGAGGAAUGGGCCGAGGCGCCGAACGAGAGCGGUCGACUACACGUGUCAACUCAGGGCUUUGAAAGAGAGGGAUCGUUUCAUCGGCAGACUUGAGAGCGAGACCGCCCACCGCUAUCGUGUGUGGAAACAAGGCGGGAACGGAGAAAUAACCCUUGGCGGUGGGGCGGCGGCGAUGCCGUACACUUGAGCGGAAGGAACAGAGCUUGUGAAUUCUGGGUUUGUGUGUGCAUGGACGCAACGUCAAAGUACGAUACGGCAGAAACCAAGCAGCGGGUUGUCGUCAAAAGACGCGGCGACUGUGAGCGACAACGAGCUCCGCAGGUCCGGAAAUAUGACGCGUUUGACUUACCGUCAAGCGCCAAACAACAAAGAUAAACGGGGCAUCAGUCAUCAAAUGGGGAAGAGACAGCUCCGAGAGAGAACUCCCCAGAUUGUGUCGUAGUUUCGGGGAUCCCUGGAACGCGUUCGAGGGACACUGUGGGAUACCGAGGCGUCGUGCCUCGAUCAGAGGAAUUAGAGAGGGAAACUCGACACAAGUGAACGUGCUCUUGCUCCAAAAGUGAUCUGAGCAUGCGGCUUUCUAGCUCGUGAGAAACGGAGGUCUUCUGCCUGAAGAACGGAAACCUCCAACACGAUUCUCAGGUUUUUAACGGUGCCGCCUCUAUACCAGGCCGUCGAUCAGAGUUCUCUUGGCCGCCGGAUUUAGCACCAGGCGUUUUUCGCCGUUGGCCUAGUACCGAAAGGAAAGGAAAACGCUGCUUCUUGGGUGGAUUCAUAUCAAAAUGCCCGUCCCUCCACUUUCGUCUCACAACGUUACGAUUCCUGGGACGCGUCUUCUCACGAUCCACAGCUUGCGCUUUCUCGGUGUGUGAGAACUCUCGAGUCUGUUCUUUACGUAGGGAAAACCUAGAAAAGACAAAACCUUUCGCGGCGCUCGCAAGGUAAGGCAGGGGAAUUGCUCAGUGUUUCCUUUCAUAAGAGAAAGUCGCUUCUCUACGAGUGAUUUGUCGCAAAGAACGACUUUUCUGCGGUGGGGCGGCAUGGAGCUUCCAUUUCUUUCAUUCUCGCAAUCAAGCUUUGUCCGCAGGGACACUUUGCCAAAGAAUACAGAUAGAUAUGACGCGAGGUUCCUUGCCUUCUCACGCCGCAACACACAACAAAACUCUUUUCUGCAGGAACUCUACGCGAUCUCAGUUUCCUACUUACACAACACACUGACUUACCUGUCUUCCAGUGCUGUGGAACGCCUGGCUCUCCAUUUCCUGCGAGAACCCUUCAUGGCGCUCCUCGGAACAAACAACCGGAAAAGUGCUACGGUUGUUCGAACGCCUUCUGCGGGUAUGGCCGCCGUCUUGGUCGAGAGUCAUUUUGAUUGCCAAGUUCUCGACAGACGGCAAAUCCCUUUCGUUUCUGGAGCGCGAUGAGUUUAAUGCGAGCAACAUGCUGAUGAUUUUGUCACUAUUUUCACCGGAAC
rnacentral:lncRNA from 1 species